rnacentral:rRNA from 1 species
GUGCCAGCAGCUGCGGUGAUACGUAGGGUGCGAGCGUUGUCCGGAAUUAUUGGGCGUAAAGAGCUCGUAGGCGGUUGAUCGCGUCGAAAGUGAAAACUCAGGGCUUAACCCUGAGCCUGCUUUCGAUACGGGUCGACUAGAGGAAGGUAGGGGAGAAUGGAAUUCCUGGUGGAGCGGUGGAAUGCGCAGAUAUCAGGAGGAACACCAGUGGCGAAGGCGGUUCUCUGGACCUUUCCUGACGCUGAGGAGCGAAAGCGUGGGAGCAAACAGGCUUAGAUACCCUGGUAGUCCACGCCGUAAACGGUGGGUACUAGGUGUGGGACAGUUCCGACGUUCUCCGUCGCCGU